UACGUAGGUUGCAAGCGUUGUCCGGAAUUAUUGGGCGUAAAGAGCUCGUAGGCGGUUUGUCGCGUCUGCUGUGAAAAUCCAGGGCUUAACCCUGGACCUGCAGUGGGUACGGGCAGACUAGAGUGCGGUAGGGGAGAUCGGAAUUCCUGGUGUAGCGGUGAAAUGCGCAGAUAUCAGGAGGAACACCGGUGGCGAAGGCGGAUCUCUGGGCCGUAACUGACGCUGAGGAGCGAAAGCAUGGGGAGCGAACAGG
rnacentral:rRNA from 1 species